rnacentral:piRNA from 1 species
UGAUGUCUGAGAUCUUGUUGCGUCGCC